CCACACCUAAAAACUUUCCACGUGAACCGUUAUAACUAUGUUCUGUGCCUCAUCUCGUCGAAAGACUUGAGGCUGAACGAAGGUGAGUCUGUGUCUUUUUGAUGCGGAUUUGCUGAUGUUAUUUUAAACACCUAUUACUUUAUACUGAACUAUACUCCGAAUACGAAAGUUUUUGGUUUUAACAAUUAACAACUUUCAGCAGUGGAUGUCUAGGCUCGCACAUCGAUGAAGAACGCUGCGAACUGCGAUACGUAAUGCGAAUUGCAGAAUUCAGUGAGUCAUCGAAAUUUUGAACGCAUAUUGCACUUUCGGGUUAUGCCUGGAAGUAUGCCUGUAUCAGUGUCCGUACAUCAAACUUGCCUUUCUUUUUUUGUGUAGUCAAAAUUGGAGAUGGCAGAAUGUGAGGUGUCUCGCGCUGUCUUUUCUUUUGAAGAUGGUUCGAGUCCCUUUAAAUGUACGUUGAUUCUUUCUUGUGUCUGCGAAUUGCGACGCUAUGCUCUUUGUGAUCGGUUUAGAUUGCUUUGCGCUGGUGGGCGACUUCGGUUAGGACAUAUGGAAGCAACCUCAAUUGGCGGUAUGUUCGGCUUUGCCUGACGUUAAGCUAAGCGAGUGUGGUUUUCUGUUCUUUCCUUGAGGUGUACCUGUCGUGUGUGAGGUCGGUUUGAGCUAUAUGGUUGCUUUGUUGUGUGGUCGAGCGUUUUUAGACGCCUGCUUCGGUAGGUAAAGGAGACAACACCGAUUUGGGACGGAGAGUUUACUCUCUUUUUCACUUUGGACCUGAUAUCAGGUAAGWCUAMCCGCUGAACUUAAG
rnacentral:rRNA from 1 species